UACAGAGGGUGCGAGCGUUAAUCGGAAUUACUGGGCGUAAAGCGCGCGUAGGCGGCUUUGCAAGCCGGAUGUGAAAUCCCCGGGCUUAACCUGGGAACUGCAUUCGGGACUGCAUUGCUAGAGUAUGGGAGAGGGAAGUGGAAUUCAGGUGUAGCGGUGAAAUGCGUAGAUAUCAGGAGGAACACCCGUGGCGAAAGCGGCUCUCUGGGACGGUACUGACGGCUGAGACGCGAAAGCGUGGGGAGCGAACAGG
rnacentral:rRNA from 1 species